GACAGAGGGUGCAAACGUUGUUCGGAAUUACUGGGCGUAAAGCGCGUGUAGGCUGCUCUGCAAGUCGGAUGUGAAAGCCCUGGGCUCAACCUAGGAAGUGCAUUCGAAACUGCAGAGCUGGAGUCCUGGAGAGGAAGGUGGAAUGCUUGGUGUAGAGGUGAAAUUCGUAGAUAUCGGGAGGAACACCAGUGGCGAAGGCGACUACCUGGCCUGUUCUUGACGCUGAGGCGCGAAAGCUAGGGGAGCAAACGGG
rnacentral:rRNA from 1 species